UACGAAAGGGGCUAGCGUUGUUCGGAUUUACUGGGCGUAAAGCGCACGUAGGCGGUCUUGUAAGAUGGGGGUGAAAUCCCCGGGCUCAACCCGAGGACUGCCUUCAUGACUGCAAAGCUCGAGGAUGCGAGAGGUUGGCGGAAUUCCGAGUGUAGAGGUGAAAUUCGUAGAUAUUCGGAAAAACACCAGUGGCGAAGGCGGCCAACUGGCGCAUUUCUGACGCUGAGGUGCGAAAGCGUGGGGAGCAAACAGG
rnacentral:rRNA from 1 species